GACAGAGGCCUCAAGCGUUAGGCGGAAUCACUGGGCUUAAAGCGUGUGUAGGCGGAUCGUUAAGUGUCUUGUGAAAUCCCACGGCUCACCCGUGGAACUGCUGGGCAUACUGGCGAUCUUGGGCCAACUAGGGGCAACUGGAACAAGCGGUGGAGCGGUGAAAUGCGUAGAUAUCGCUUGGAACGCCAAAGGUGAAAACAGACUGCUGGGGUUGCGCCGACGCUGAGACACGAAGCCAGGGGAGCAAACGGG
rnacentral:rRNA from 1 species